UACGAAGGGGGCUAGCGUUGUUCGGAUUUACUGGGCGUAAAGCGCACGUAGGCGGAUUGGUCAGUUAGGGGUGAAAUCCCAGAGCUCAACUCUGGAACUGCCUUUAAUACUGCCAGUCUAGAGUCCGGAAGAGGUGAGUGGAACUCCUAGUGUAGAGGUGGAAUUCGUAGAUAUUAGGAAGAACACCAGUGGCGAAGGCGGCUCACUGGUCCGGUACUGACGCUGAGGUGCGAAAGCGUGGGGAGCAAAC
rnacentral:rRNA from 1 species